UCCCUGGAGGGUCCUUCCCGACCCGACCCCGGAAGCUUCCAGGUGCAGGAGGAAGCAGAGGGGCGCUGCCUUGUGCCCUAGCGGCCCCGCCCCGCUCGGCGAGAGGCCGAGCCCAGGAGACCCCCGCCGAGGGGGUGAAGGCGGCGCUCCCCGCAGGGGAUCCUCCUGAGGGCCACCCCCCGCCGCCCGGCAGAGGCUCAGCCUAGCCUCGCAGAGAGGAGGCCCCAGGUUCGGGGCCGCUCUCGGGGUGCGGGACAGGUGCUUUGCACAGAUCGAUUCCUGCAAUCCUGCCCCGCCACGGGACGUAGGUCACCGGAUCUCCGUUUCGCAGGCUCGCACUCUCCAGGAGGAGGACCCGGGGCUGCCGCCCGCAGCGGACCGAGCCGGGGGCGCCGGCAGAGAGUGGGAGCUCCAGCCGGUGGGGCCCGGCUGUCUCUGGGGACGGCUCCCGGGGAGCGACAGGCGGCAGCAGAGGCCGGAAGACUCCGCUAGGGGGCGCUGCGGCGGCGUGCUGGGGACGGCGCGGUUUGGCCCUCGCGGGCCGCCGUACGCACUAUAAAAGGCGCGUCGCGCGUGCGCGCGUCCUUUCCGGGUGGCGGCGGCGUCUCCGCGUGGUGCGUGCGGCCUGGUUCCCGGAGCCCCGGGCGCCCGCCGCCCCGCCAGGGCCUCGCCAGCCGUGACCCGAGCUGCGGCCGUGCGCCCCCGGUGCCGGGCCGACCGCGGGAGGGACGGCGGGCCCCGGGCCAGGCGCCGGGUGGGUCCGGACCUUGCUGAGCGCCCGCCGCCCUCCCUCGCGGGUUGGGAUCCGUAGAAAGUGGCCUCCCGCUUCUGGCCACGCGUUGUUUUUGCUUUAAAAAGCGGGUCGGCUGUCCCUCAUUCCCUGGUCGGGUGUGGCCGAAAGGCGGCUUCCGAAGCGCGGUGGUGUGAAUGCCGCUGCUUAGCCGGGGGCCCGGUGGGAGCAGGCAUUCCUAGACCUGGUCCGCGGGCUCCAUACGCGGCCAGCCAGUGACCUUAGUUUUCCACACUCGAGUUAGGCGGGGACCGGGGAGGGGGACGGUAAAUGGGUUUUGGGGGUUCCUGGCCACGCGUAGGCCUGGUGGCAGGGUCUCUGGACGCCGAAUGCAAGCGGAACAGCCCACGAGAAGUGGCUCCUUGUGGGUGCGCCGGGGUUUUAGAAAGGGCUGCUUUCCUUUUUCUCUAGGGAGUUCGCUAGAGACCGAGCACCUGGGAGGGCGUCCUGGGGUCUCAGCUCUUGGGUGGCCUCGGUUGGUGAGGCGGUCCGGCCUUUGACAGCAGGAGGUAGGAGUGGGUCGCUGACAAGCAGAGAUGAGCAGAAGAGGUGAGUGGAUUUCAGGUAGGCUGACCUGCUGAAGGGCUGAGGGUUCCCCGUCCCAGGGGAUGAAAACAAUGAAGGCACCUGAAGUUUCCUUCGGGGGAGACCGAGCACCGGCACCUAACCGUUAACCUGCUUCAAAUGACUCUGGGUCAGAGCGUCAGCGUGCUCUGCCUCCUGCAGCAAGUUGGAUGCGCUGCACAGCCAGAAACUCAAGCGGUCAAGUUGCAGGGUUCUGACAAUGCGGAGACGGUGGCACAGGCCGGCCAUCCUGGCUUUCUCCAGUUUUAGGAAUUGCAGGGCACUGUUUCCUGGCCCGUCCCCUGGUUUGUGGCUUUCUGGUCCGUUGGUUAGUAGCUUUCGGGGUGGGGGGAGUGGGGGCGGGCAGCAACCCCUCAGGAAGGAAGGCCCUCCGGCUGCACUGCGGUCCCCCCAGCUACAUCGGGCACUAAGGCGCCAGUGCGGGCUGCCCGUUGGGGCUCCUAAAGGUGACCGCAGAAAAGUUAAAAAGGAUCACCUCGUCCGUAGCAGCCGGGGUUGUAAACACGAGUGACGGGCAGGACGAGAGACCGCUCGAAAGCGCCUCCGUGCCCCGCGCCUCGCCAGACGGCUGUCACAGUCCUGCAGAGGUAGAGGCUGGUGUCUGACUUGGUAACGGUAAUAAUGGCGGCCAACUUUACACGGUGAUUUUUGGGGGUCAGGGUAUUUGUUCCUUAAUCCAGGAAGGAAGGGGACUGCCAGCCUGUGCACGUGGGCCAGAAUAACACCGUCACCGUCCAGACCGAGGUGGAGAGGAGACGCUGGCCCCACCAGGUGGAGAGCCCAGCCGGCCCAGCCAGGCGAGAUCCAGGCCGUCCGUUCAGGGUGAGACACUCCCUGAUACAAAGCAGAGAAGUAGCAAGGUAUUUUGCAUUGCUUUCUGAAACGCUUGUGCAGAGUGUUGGCGUGUUGGAAAGCGGUCCUGUGUUGUGGGUCUGCGGGGCGAGGCGGGGAGCGUUGAACUGUGAAUUGAGCGCCCUCUGACUGCAAAAACUCCAAGAAAAGCAAACGUGAUUGAGAGCAGAGACAAGGGGUCAAGAUCCAUCGGGGGGCCAGGGCCCCCACUUUUGAUGC